rfam:Schistosoma mansoni, Puerto Rico, WGS project CABG01000000 data, contig: 0126
AUCCAGCUGACGCAUCCAAAAUAGGAUGAAAAGUGUGUCCUGGAU